rnacentral:rRNA from 1 species
AGAGUUUGAUCAUGGCUCAGAGCGAACGCUGGCGGCAGGCUUAACACAUGCAAGUCGAGCGGGCGUAGCAAUACGUCAGCGGCAGACGGGUGAGUAACGCGUGGGAACAUACCUUUUGGUUCGGAACAACACAGGGAAACUUGUGCUAAUACCGGAUAAGCCCUUACGGGGAAAGAUUUAUCGCCGAAAGAUUGGCCCGCGUCUGAUUAGCUAGUUGGUGAGGUAACGGCUCACCAAGGCGACGAUCAGUAGCUGGUCUGAGAGGAUGAUCAGCCACAUUGGGACUGAGACACGGCCCAAACUCCUACGGGAGGCAGCAGUGGGGAAUAUUGGACAAUGGGCGCAAGCCUGAUCCAGCCAUGCCGCGUGAGUGAUGAAGGCCCUAGGGUUGUAAAGCUCUUUUGUGCGGGAAGAUAAUGACGGUACCGCAAGAAUAAGCCCCGGCUAACUUCGUGCCAGCAGCCGCGGUA